UACGGAGGGUGCAAGCGUUGCUCGGAAUUACUGGGCGUAAAGGGUGUGUAGGCGGAUACUUAAGUCGGGGGUGAAAGCCCAGGGCUCAACCCUGGAAUAGCCUUCGAUACUGGGUAUCUUGAGUUCGGGGAGAGGUAAGUGGAACUCCGAGUGUAGAGGUGAAAUUCGUAGAUAUUCGGAAGAACACCAGUGGCGAAGGCGACUUACUGGCCCGAUACUGACGCUGAAACACGAAAGCGUGGGGAGCAAACAGG
rnacentral:rRNA from 1 species